UACGGAGGGUGCAAGCGUUGUCCGGAUUUAUUGGGUUUAAAGGGUGCGUAGCGGCUCAUUAAGUCUGGGGUGAAAGCCCGUUGCUCAACAACGGAACUGCCCUGGAAACUGGUGAGCUUGAGUACAGACGAGGGUGGCGGAAUGGAUGCUGUAGCGGUGAAAUGCAUAGAUAGCAUCCAGAACCCCCGAUUGCGAAGCAGC
rnacentral:rRNA from 1 species